rfam:Rattus norvegicus chromosome 19, whole genome shotgun sequence.
GGGGAUUUAGCUCAGUGGUAGAGCACUUGCCUAGCAAGCACAAGCGCAAGGUCCUGGGUUCGGUCCCCAGCUCCG